rnacentral:rRNA from 1 species
CGAGCGCACCCUUCGGGGCGAGCGGCGGACGGGUUAGUAACGCGUGGGAAUAUACCCUUCACUACGGAAUAGCCUCGGGAAACUGAGAGUAAUACCGUAUACGCCCUUCGGGGGAAAGAUUUAUCGGUGAUGGAUUAGCCCGCGUCUGAUUAGAUAGUUGGUGGGGUAAUGGCCUACCAAGUCUACGAUCAGUAGCUGGUUUUAGAGGAUGAUCAGCAACACUGGGACUGAGACACGGCCCAG